GUGAAUCAUCGAAUUUUUGAACGCAUAUUGCACUCUCUGGUAUUCCGGAGAGUAUGCCUGUUUGAGGGUAAUUAAAAAGAAUCUUUAACCAAUUUUUUUUGUUCAAAGGAAAGAGGCUCUCCGCGUUUAUAGCUGUAUCUUAAAAUAAAUGUUCAAUUCUCAUUUUAUUCAAGACGCUUAAUAAUUUUAUUUCGCGAAAUUUUCAUUAUGUAACUUUCAAGUUUUGAUUCAUACAAAUUUGCUUUGUAUGUGAUUAUUC
rnacentral:misc_RNA from 1 species